AAGAUCAUACUUCACAGGAUCAUUUCUGUAGUGUAUCUUCAUUAUCCCUCUAUCCAACAAUAGAGUUGAUGCAGCCAUGAUGACGAGAUGAAACUCUUCUUCCUGAGCGUGAGAACGGCUUGAUUAGACGACCAGUUCGUCUAAUCGGUCAUCGAUGAUCGUUCACCUACCGUAGUUCUACGGUAGGCUUGGAAGAAUGAGUAUUCUGAGUGGU